rnacentral:rRNA from 1 species
AGGACGAACGCUUGCGACGUGCCUAAGAAAUGCAAGUCGAACGGAUUAGGCUUCGGCCUAAUUAGUGGCGAACGGUCGCGUAACACGUGGGCAACCUGCCCCGAAGUGGGGGAUAACAGCCCGAAAGGGUUGCUAAUACCGCAUGUGGAUAUCUUUGGCAUCACAGAAUAUCCAAAGCCUUAGGGCGCUUCGGGAUGGGCCCGCGGCCUAUCAGCUUGUUGGUGAGGUAACGGCUCACCAAGGCUUCGACGGGUAGCUGGUCUGAGAGGACGAUCAGCCGGAUUGGGACUGAGAUACGGCCCAGACUCCUACGGGGGGCAGCAAUUAGGAAUCUUGCGCAAUGGGCGAAAGCCUGACGCAGCGACGUCGCGUGAAGGAUGAAGUCUUUCGGGACGUAAACUUCUUUUAUCGAGGAAGAACACAAUGGCGGUACUCGAUGAAUAACGCCCGGCUAACUACGUGCCAGCAGCCGCGGU